rnacentral:rRNA from 1 species
GAUGAACGCUGGCGGCGUGCCUAAUACAUGCAAGUCGAGCGAACAGACGAGGAGCUUGCUCCUCUGACGUUAGCGGCGGACGGGUGAGUAACACGUGGAUAACCUACCUAUAAGACUGGGAUAACUUCGGGAAACCGGAGCUAAUACCGGAUAAUAUAUUGAACCGCAUGGUUCAAUAGUGAAAGACGGUUUUGCUGUCACUUAUAGAUGGAUCCGCGCCGCAUUAGCGAGUUGGUAAGGUAACGGCUUACCAAGGCAACGAUGCGUAGCCGACCUGAGAGGGUGAACGGCCAGACUGGAACUGAGACAGGUUCCAGACUCCGACGGGGGGCCGCAGUAGGGAAUCUUCCGCAAUGGGCGAAAGCCUGACGGUGCAACACCGCGUGAGUGAUGAAGGUCUUCUGAUCGUAAAACUCUGUUAUUAGGGAGGAACAAAUGUGUAAGUAACUAUGCAGGUCUUGACGGUACCUAAUCAGAAAGCCACGGCUAACUACGUG